UACGGGGGGAGCAAGCGUUGUUCGGAUUUACUGGGCGUAAAGUGUGCGCAGGCGGCCGCGCAAGUCGAGUGUGAAAGCCCCGAGCUUAACUUGGGAAUUGCGCUCGAAACUACGUGGCUGGAGUGUGGCAGAGGAAGGUGGAAUUCCAGGUGUAGCGGUGAAAUGCGUAGAGAUCUGGAGGAACACCGAUGGCGAAGGCAGCCUUCUGGGCCAACACUGACGCUCAUGCACGAAAGCGUGGGGAGCAAACAGG
rnacentral:rRNA from 2 species